CCCUUAGAUGUUCUGGGCCGCACGCGCGCUACACUGACGAUGGCAACGAGUUUUUCCUUCGCCGAAAGGUGUGGGUAAUCUUUUGAAACAUCGUCGUGCUGGGGAUAGAUCAUUGCAAUUUUUGAUCUUGAACGAGGAAUUCCUAGUAAGCGCGAGUCAUCAGCUCGCGUUGAUUACGUCCCUGCCCUUUGUACACACCGCCCAUCGCUACUACCGAUUGAAUGGUUUAGUGAGGACUCCUGAUUGGCGCCGCCGCCCCGGCAACGGAGCAGCGGACUGCCGAAAAGUUGUUCAAACUUGAUCAUUUAGAGGAAGUAAAAGUCGUAACA
rnacentral:rRNA from 1 species